GAGAGCGGCAACGCCGACGAUCUUGAUGGGCAUGCCGGUGACCACCAUGUCCUUUAUGGUGAUGUAGCCGGUGCUGAACCACACCACAACCUGGGUGGAGUGAGAGAACAAAGAUCAACUACCGCCUCAACCCAUAAAUAAAAGAAAAACCAAAUAGAAUUAAAAAGUUAAGUAUGGGUGCUACUGGAGUUGACUACUAUAUAGUGCCAAAACAAACAACUAAUGAGACAACACUCCACACCACCAACUUACCAGUUAGGACCAAGUGGCACUACAAGCUCCAUACAUCCAUCAAUCGAUAUUCUCGCCCUCCACAAGAUCAAACUUCGCGAUAGCUGAGGGUCCAUGCAACUUCCUAGGCACACACACACACACACACACACACACACACACACGCACAAAUAGAGAGAGAGAGCAUGAUUAACUGGUGUCAUCAACCCACAUAACAAAAUAGAGAAUUUAAAAAUUAAGUAUAAGUGCCACUGACGCAGACUUCUACAAGUUUGGAUAGGAGCUAUCUAGCACAUGCAAUAUAUAGCAAGAACAAGCAGACCUUACAAGUUAAUAGUGUUGUCAAACACAUCGUCCAUGCCAUAAAGAUCAAGUAAUCGUUAUAGCUCAGAUAUUGAUAUUGAUAUCUACUACUGUUUAGGUACCAUAGUUUGUUUUCUCUUAUUAGGACUUCUACUCAUGUAUAAAANNN
rnacentral:lncRNA from 1 species